rnacentral:tRNA from 1 species
GGCUUCGUGGCCGAGCGGUAAGGACACUUGCCUCUCAUCCUGGAGUCUCGGGUUCGAUCCCCGAUAAAGGAGUUU